rnacentral:piRNA from 1 species
AAGGUUCUAAGACUGGAAAAGCUC